rnacentral:rRNA from 1 species
AUUGAACGCUGGCGGCAGGCCUAACACAUACAAGUCGAAUGGUAACAGGAAACAGCUUGCUGUUUCGCUGACGAGUGGCGGACGGGUGAGUAAUGUCUGGGAAACUGCCUGAUGGAGGGGGAUAACUACUGGAAACGGUAGCUAAUACCGCAUAACGUCGCAAGACCAAAGAGGGGGACCUUCGGGCCUCUUGCCAUCAGAUGUGCCCAGAUGGGAUUAGCUAGUAGGUGGGGUAACGGCUCACCUAGGCGACGAUCCCUAGCUGGUCUGAGAGGAUGACCAGCCACACUGGAACUGAGACACGGUCCAGACUCCUACGGGAGGCAGCAGUGGGGAAUAUUGCACAAUGGGCGCAAGCCUGAUGCAGCCAUGCCGCGUGUAUGAAGAAGGCCUUCGGGUUGUAAAGUACUUUCAGCGGGGAGGAAGGGAGUAAAGUUAAUACCUUUGCUCAUUGACGUUACCCGCAGAAGAAGCACCGGCUAACUCCGUG